UACGUAGGGUGCGAGCGUUGUCCGGAAUUAUUGGGCGUAAAGAGCUCGUAGGCGGUCUGUCGCGUCUGCUGUGAAAACUCGGGGGCUUAACCCCGGGCCUGCAGUGGGUACGGGCAGACUAGAGUGCGGUAGGGGAGACUGGAAUUCCUGGUGUAGCGGUGAAAUGCGCAGAUAUCAGGAGGAACACCGGUGGCGAAGGCGGUUCUCUGGGCAUUACCUGACGCUGAGGAGCGAAAGUGUGGGGAGCGAAACAGG
rnacentral:rRNA from 1 species